UGGACCCGUAGCUCAGCCAGGACAGAGUGCUGGCCUGCGGAGCCAGUGGUCCCGGGUUCGAAUCCCGGCGGGUCCGU
rnacentral:tRNA from 1 species